GUGCUCACUUCAGCAGCACAUAUCCGAAAAUUGGAAUGAUACAGAGAAGAUUAGCAUGGCACCUGUGCAUAACACACUUUAUAUUAUUGACAGAUUAAGUAUCUGU